AACAAAUUUGGUUGGAUUUUAUGUCUCAUGGAAAAAAAGGUACUUUUAAUAAGUACAAUCCAGUGAAGAAAUUUAAAAAAUAUUAUUAGUUUUAGAUUUAUCCAGAGGGUUGGAAAAGCUGGUGCCAGCAUCUGCGGUUAAACCAGCGACCCGACUAAAUUUUCUAAGGAAAACAUUUUUUAAUUUAAAAAUUGAAUACGUAUAAACUAAAAGUUUGGCCAAUAAAUUAAUUUUAUGAUAGAAGACAGAAAAACGGAUUAGAGACCCGUGUAUUCUUCUAAGAAAUUUUACCUCCUAGAGGAGAAUUACUUAAUGAACCUGGCGGCCUACCACAUUCAGCUAGAGGGACUUAUUAUGUAAUAGUAAGUACUCAUUCGAACCUGCCAAAAACUCUCGGACUUCGGUCAACAAACUCUGUAUACCUCCGUUGAUAGCUUAUUUUGAAGAAAAUGGCAUAAAAAAGUUUAUCUUUCGGACAACAGGUCAAGGUGCAUGUUUGUUUUUUUGGAACUAAUUAGUCACUUUAUUAGGGGAAGUUGAAAAAUUUCCAUUAAAUAGGAUUUAGUAGUAAUAUCUAUUUAAAAGAAUGAUAUGAAAAGAUUUUGGUAGGAGUACAAAUCGCCCCGUCACCUUCCAUUGGAAGUAAGUCGUAACAAAGUAACUUUAACGGAAGCUAAAG
rnacentral:rRNA from 1 species